rnacentral:rRNA from 1 species
UUUAUGGAGAGUUUGAUCCUGGCUCAGGAUGAACGCUGGCGGCGUGCCUAAUACAUGCAAGUCGAGCGAACGGACGAGAAGCUUGCUUCUCUGAUGUUAGCGGCGGACGGGUGAGUAACACGUGGAUAACCUACCUAUAAGACUGGGAUAACUUCGGGAAACCGGAGCUAAUACCGGAUAAUAUUUUGAACCGCAUGGUUCAAAAGUAAAAGACGGUCUUGCUGUCACUUAUAGAUGGAUCCGCGCUGCAUUAGCUAGUUGGUAAGGUAACGGCUUACCAAGGCAACGAUGCAUAGCCGACCUGAGAGGGUGAUCGGCCACACUGGAACUGAGACACGGUCCAGACUCCUACGGGAGGCAGCAGUAGGGAAUCUUCCGCAAUGGGCGAAAGCCUGACGGAGCAACGCCGCGUGAGUGAUGAAGGUCUUCGAUCGUAAAACUCUGUUAUUAGGGAAGAACAUAUGUGUAAGUAACUGUGCACAUCUUGACGGUACCUAAUCAGAAAGCCACGGCUAACUACGUGCCAGCAGCCGCGGUAAUACGUAGGUGGCAAGCGUUAUCCGGAAUUAUUGGGCGUAAAGCGCGCGUAGGCGGUUUUUUAAGUCUGAUGUGAAAGCCCACGGCUCAACCGUGGAGGGUCAUUGGAAACUGGAAAACUUGAGUGCAGAAGAGGAAAGUGGAAUUCCAUGUGUAGCGGUGAAAUGCGCAGAGAUAUGGAGGAACACCAGUGGCGAAGGCGACUUUCUGGUCUGUAACUGACGCUGAUGUGCGAAAGCGUGGGGAUCAAACAGGAUUAGAUACCCUGGUAGUCCACGCCGUAAACGAUGAGUGCUAAGUGUUAGGGGGUUUCCGCCCCUUAGUGCUGCAGCUAACGCAUUAAGCACUCCGCCUGGGGAGUACGACCGCAAGGUUGAAACUCAAAGGAAUUGACGGGGACCCGCACAAGCGGUGGAGCAUGUGGUUUAAUUCGAAGCAACGCGAAGAACCUUACCAAAUCUUGACAUCCUUUGACAACUCUAGAGAUAGAGCCUUCCCCUUCGGGGGACAAAGUGACAGGUGGUGCAUGGUUGUCGUCAGCUCGUGUCGUGAGAUGUUGGGUUAAGUCCCGCAACGAGCGCAACCCUUAAGCUUAGUUGCCAUCAUUAAGUUGGGCACUCUAAGUUGACUGCCGGUGACAAACCGGAGGAAGGUGGGGAUGACGUCAAAUCAUCAUGCCCCUUAUGAUUUGGGCUACACACGUGCUACAAUGGACAAUACAAAGGGCAGCGAAACCGCGAGGUCAAGCAAAUCCCAUAAAGUUGUUCUCAGUUCGGAUUGUAGUCUGCAACUCGACUACAUGAAGCUGGAAUCGCUAGUAAUCGUAGAUCAGCAUGCUACGGUGAAUACGUUCCCGGGUCUUGUACACACCGCCCGUCACACCACGAGAGUUUGUAACACCCGAAGCCGGUGGAGUAACCUUUUAGGAGCUAGCCGUCGAAGGUGGGACAAAUGAUUGGGGUGAAGUCGUAACAAGGUAGCCGUAUCGGAAGGUGCGGCUGGAUCACCUCCUUU